GAGGAGCUAGAGGACGACGACGACGAGGAGGAACUCCGCCGCUCCUUUGCUGGCUGCAGGGCGGCUAAUGCAGAAGGCUGCUGGGCCCCAGUAGAGGCAGGGACAGAGAGCAUGCCAUUGUGAUCACCAGCAGAGGACGUGGUCGUUGCCACUGCCCCAGAGGAAAGGGACUGAGACCCUGCUACAGGGGUGGUCUGGGC
rnacentral:lncRNA from 10 species